rnacentral:rRNA from 1 species
AUAUAAGGUCUGACCUGCCCACUGAUUUAUUUUGAAGGGCCGCAGUAAUUUGACUGUGCAAAGGUAGCAUAAUCAUUAGUUUUUUAAUUAAAAGCUUGUAUGAAGGGUUGGACGAGGUAAAAUCUGUCUCUAUUUAAUUUAUUUUAGAAUUUAAUUUUUAAGUUAAAAAGCUUAAAUUUAUUUAAAAGACGAGAAGACCCUAUAGAUCUUUAUAAAAAUUUUAUUAAUUUUAUUUAAGAAUAUUUUAUUUAUUAUUAGAUUUUUUAUUUUAUUGGGGUAAUAAAAAGAUUUAAAAAAUUCUUUUUUUAUUUAUACAUUAAUUUAUGAUUAUUUGAUCCAAUAUUUUUGAUUAAAAGAUUAAGUUACCUUAGGGAUAACAGCGUAAUUUUUUUAGAGAGUUCAUAUCGAUAAAAAAGUUUGCGACCUCGAUGUUGGAUUAAAAAUUAUCUUAGGUGCAGAAGUUUAAGAUUUUGGUCUGUUCGACCAUUAAAUUUUU